rnacentral:rRNA from 1 species
GACGAACGCUGGCGGCGUGCUUAACACAUGCAAGUCGAACGGAAAGGCCCUGCUUUUGUGGGGUGCUCGAGUGGCGCACGGGUGAGUAACACGUGAGUAACCUGCCCUUGACUUUGGGAUAACUUCAGGAAACUGGGGCUAAUACCGGAUAGGAGCUCCUGCUGCAUGGUGGGGGUUGGAAAGUUUCGGCGGUUGGGGCUGGACUCGCGGCUUAUCAGCUUGUUGGUGGGGUAGUGGCUUACCAAGGCUUUGACGGGUAGCCGGCCUGAGAGGGUGACCGGCCACAUUGGGACUGAGAUACGGCCCAGACUCCUACGGGAGGCAGCAGUGGGGAAUAUUGCACAAUGGGCGGAAGCCUGAUGCAGCAACGCCGCGUGCGGGAUGACGGCCUUCGGGUUGUAAACCGCUUUCGCCUGUGACGAAGCGUGAGUGACGGUAAUGGGUAAAGAAGCACCGGCUAACUACGUG